rnacentral:rRNA from 1 species
UACGUAGGUGACAAGCGUUAUCCGGAAUUACUGGGCGUAAAGCGCACGCAGGCGGCUGCGUAAGUCUGACGUGAAAUCUCCCGGCUUAACCGGGAGCGGUCGUUGGAAACUAUGCGGCUUGAGGCGAUGAGAGGGGUGUGGAAUUCCCGGUGUAGUGGUGGAAUGCGUAGAUAUCGGGAGGAACACCAGUGGCGAAGGCGGCACUCUGGGCCAGUACUGACGCUGAGGAGCGAAAGCGUGGGGAGCGAACAGG